GGCGGCGUAGCUCAGUUGGCUAGAGCGAGGGUCUCAUAAUCCCUAGGUCCCCGGUUCGAUUCCGGGCGCCGCCA
rnacentral:tRNA from 1 species